GGAGGUAGUGACAAUAAAUCACAAUGCGGGACUAUACGUCUUGCAAUUGGAUUGAGAACAAUGUACAACUCUUAUCGAUAAGCCAUUGGAGGGCAAGUCUGGUGCCAGCAGCCGCGGUAAUUCCAGCUCCAAUAGCGUAUAUUAACGUUGUUGCAGUUAAAAAGCUCGUAGUUGAAGUGUGGGUGAUCGCUGUUGUGAGACUUCGGUCUCUCGACAGUAAGUCACCCCCUUCCAGUAUCCAGUAGUGGGUAUUCAGUUACUUACUAUUGUGUGUUGGUCAUUUACUGUGAGAAAAUUAGAGCGUUCAAAGCAGGCGUUUGCUUGAAUAGAUUAGCAUGGAAUAAUAAUUGAAGGCUUUCGUGUUCGAUUUGAUUGGUUUGUUCAUGGAAGCAAGGUUAAAAGGAACAGUUGGGGGUAUUCAUAUUCACUAGUUAGAGGUGAAAUUCUCGGAUUUAUGGAAGAUGAACAAGUGCGAAAGCA
rnacentral:rRNA from 1 species